GAGGAAACGGUCUAGCUCCUGGGGUUGCGCCAACUGGUCGAGUCAAUGAACCUGAAGAUGGGAAAGCACUGGAUGGAGGCACUCCAGAAGUAGGAACCCCCACAGGGCCGCCUCCACCCAUCGAAGAGGGAAAAGACCCGGGAGGAGGUCUGGAACCGAAAGGCAAAGAUUGGCCCACAGGUGGCCCGAACGGUCGCACUGUAGCCACAUUUGGAGGAAAUGACUGUUGCGGGGUUCCUGCAGGUCUUGAAAGUGCACCAGGUGGUGGUGGGCCAGGGCGGGACAUUGGUGGUGAAGGUGCUGUCACAGGAAAUUGUGGUGAUUGAGCAAAUGGGGUCGGUCUAGGGCCUGAAUUGGGCAUCGAA
rnacentral:lncRNA from 1 species